GCAUUUUCUACCAACACCAUAAGCAAGAAUAUAUCUUCUUUGAUCACUGCUAUAAGAACUCAAGCAUGGGAGUACUAGAUCUAUGCCUUUCUCUGGUAUGCAUCAGUGGUGGCAAUAGAGUCAUUCAAGGGUGGACUAUGACCAGUGACUUGCAUAUUGGAUCCUAUAUUCCUUCCUAACUGUUACAGAUACUUUCCUUCAAUCCAUUCUAGAAUGGUAAUUAGGAACAAAGUUUCUCUAUCUAUAUUUAAUUUUCAUUUUCUAUGUAAGUUUCUUUUCAGGUUUCUCUUUUGGACCUUUUGGUUGGUGGUCUGAUUAUUUGCAUUAGACAUUAAUACAGCCAGUACUUUGUUAGCAUGGAUGACUCUAUUCCACAAAAAUCACAGGACGCAAAAGGGAAACUUACCAUGAACCUCUGCUAAGCAAAAGUCAAAACUAUGGUGGACAUGAUAACACUUGACAAUGCUACAAGGGCAUUGCUUGGCAAUGGCUACGAUUCAACAGCUAUGAGAAAUAUGCAAUGUCGUGGCUGUGGCCAAAAUUUUGAGCGCCUGUGUUAGGAUCAAAGCUGCUGAUGUAACAAUGGAAGAUACAAAGGAAGCUGAUAAUCUGCUGUUUAGGUAAUUGUGAAUUUCUAAUUUCGUGCAGAUAUAACUUUCCCCAUGUUUUCAUCAGUAUGCAUAUAUGGGUGUUUAGUACCUAUGUUAUUUAGUAGUAUUUAAUCCCAAGGUUGCUUAUGUACCACUCACUUUCGAGUAAUGGUUCCUGUGUCUUAGGGUGGAGUCAAUGAAGAAUAAUGAUCAAAUAUCAUUUAUAUAAUUGCUUUUUGAGAGAGAAUAACUUAUACUAAUUUUUAUAAAGCAAAAUACUAAUUUUGCUUCAUGCUUGAUGGUUGCUGUCAAUUUCUUACAACUUUUGAUCCUGUCAACAAGAAGUUCUGCUGCUGCUGCUAAACAAGAAAAAAUAUAUCAGAAGAAGAAAACAAGUGGUGGGUUAAUUUCUUGCAAAUAAGAGCCAAACCCAGUUGUAGAAAGAUGUCAUCACUUGAAUUUAAGCAUAGAAUUAGUCCUCCACACCAUACCGUGACUGAUCAGCCAGUGAAUAUUAAGACUCAAGAAAGGAGCAGUCACAUUGAUAUGUGUUUCCAUUGUAAUGAAGCUCCAUCACAAAGAAACAUAACAUACAUCCAUUCUAGAGAGCAUGUUUUCCCUCCCCUUUGUUACAUGAAUUUUGAACAGAAAAAUUUGUAACUCCUGUUUAUAGGUUUUGCAAUCGGGAGCAGAUGAACUGUAAUCCUUAGUUUUUGCAGACUGUUUUAAGUUUCGACUCUUAUGACCGUUCAUACGUGUCAGUAGUACUUAUACCCAACUACUCCAACACAA